rnacentral:rRNA from 1 species
UACGUAGGGGGCAAGCGUUGUCCGGAAUCAUUGGGCGUAAAGCGCGUGUAGGCGGCCCGGUAAGUCCGCUGUGAAAGUCGGGGGCUCAACCCUCGAAUGCCGGUGGAUACUGUCGGGCUAGAGUGCGGGAGAGGCGAGUGGAAUUCCUGGUGUAGCGGUGAAAUGCGCAGAUAUCAGGAGGAACACCAAUUGCGAAAGGCAGCUCGCUGGAACGUAACUGACGCUGGAGAACGCGAAAGCGUGGGGAGCAAACAGG